CCUACGGAGGCAGCAGUGGGGAAUUUUGGACAAUGGGCGCAAGCCUGAUCCAGCCAUGCCGCGUGUGGGAAGAAGGCCUUCGGGUUGUAAACCACUUUUGUCAGGGAAGAAACGGCCUUUUCUAAUACAGGGGGCUAAUGACGGUACCUGAAGAAUAAGCACCGGCUAACUACGUGCCAGCAGCCGCGGUAAUACGUAGGGUGCAAGCGUUAAUCGGAAUUACUGGGCGUAAAGCGUGCGCAGGCGGCUUUGCAAGACAGAUGUGAAAUCCCCGGGCUCAACCUGGGAACUGCAUUUGUGACUGCAUGGCUAGAGUACGGUAGAGGGGGAUGGAAUUCCGCGUGUAGCAGUGAAAUGCGUAGAUAUGCGGAGGAACACCGAUGGCGAAGGCAAUCCCCUGGACCUGUACUGACGCUCAUGCACGAAAGCGUGGGGAGCAAACAGGAUUAGAUACCCUGGUAGUCCACGCCCUAAACGAUGUCAACUGGUUGUUGGACGGCUUGCUGUUCAGUAACGAAGCUAACGCGUGAAGUUGACCGCCUGGGGAGUAACGGCCGCAAGGUUGAAACUUAAAUUGAAUUGACGG
rnacentral:rRNA from 1 species